CUACGGGAGGCUGCAGUGGGGAAUAUUGGACAAUGGGCGAAAGCCUGAUCCAGCCAUGCCGCGUGUGUGAAGAAGGCCUUCGGGUUGUAAAGCACUUUCAGUGGGGAAGAAAGCCUUGGGGCUAAUACCCUCGAGGAAGGACAUCACCCACAGAAGAAGCACCGGCUAACUCCGUGCCAGCAGCCGCGGUAAUACGGAGGGUGCGAGCGUUAAUCGGAAUUACUGGGCGUAAAGCGCGCGUAGGCGGUCUGAUAAGCCGGUUGUGAAAGCCCCGGGCUCAACCUGGGAACGGCAUCCGGAACUGUCAGGCUAGAGUGCAGGAGAGGAAGGUAGAAUUCCCGGUGUAGCGGUGAAAUGCGUAGAGAUCGGGAGGAAUACCAGUGGCGAAGGCGGCCUUCUGGACUGACACUGACGCUGAGGUGCGAAAGCGUGGGUAGCAAACAGGAUUAGAUACCCCGAGUAGUC
rnacentral:rRNA from 1 species